GACGAAGGGGGCAAGCGUUGUUCGGAAUUACUGGGCGUAAAGGGCGCGUAGGCGGCUCUGUAAGUCAGGCGUGAAAGCCCUGGGCUCAACCUGGGAGUGGCGCUUGAUACUGUGGGGCUAGAGAGCGGGAGAGGAUGGUGGAAUUCCCAGUGUAGAGGUGAAAUUCGUAGAUAUUGGGAAGAACACCGGUGGCGAAGGCGGCCAUCUGGACCGUAUCUGACGCUGAGGCGCGAAAGCGUGGGGAGCAAACGGG
rnacentral:rRNA from 1 species